ensembl:lncRNA
CCCCCCCCCCAGGCCCGCCCCUCCGGAACCCGGAAGCUGGAGCGCGCGGGGGAGCGGCGGGCGCGGCGGGGCGGAGCGGCCAGACUAGCAGCGGGCUGGCGGCCGGGCGGGGACCUGGCCGGGGACCGGCGGCGCGCGGCGGCCGAGGCCCAGGGAACGCAGGUUCGAUCCCUAGUUGGGGAACUGAAAUCCCACAUGCUGUGGGGCAGCUGAGCCCAAGUGCGUCAACUACUGAGCCACUCCGUGCUCUGGAGCUCAAGCCACACCUAGGGAGAAGCCCACACACCAGAGAAAAAUCUUGUGUGCCGCAGUAAAGAUCCUGCAUGCCACAGCUGAGGCCCAAUGCAGCCAAAAGUGAAUAGACAAAUGUUAAAAAGUAAUAAUAAUAAGGUCUUGGCGGAUGUAAUUAAAGAUCUCACGGAGUCUGUAUCCUGAAUCCAGUAUCUGAUGUUUUCAUAAGAAGAGGGGAGGACACAGAGACAGAGAAGGCCUCCAAAGACAUCAGAGUGGUGCAGCUAGCAGCCAAGGAGAGGCAAGCAUCGCCAGAAGCCAAGAUGAGACACAGGAAGGUUUCUCGCUCAGGAUCUCCUGGAGGAACCAGCGCUGCCCACGCCUUGAUUUUUGGGCUCAUCCAGAAAGGCAAGACAGAAGAUGCCACAUGCCGUGGGGCAGCUCAGCCGUGCACCACAACUGUUGAGCCUGCAGUCUAGAGCCCAGAAGCCACAACUGUUGAGCUCACUUGCCCUGGAGCCCUGCUCCACAACCAGAGAGACCACCACAGUGAGAAGCC